CGAAAGUGUAAUAUUGUAAAACUUUUAUAUUUUUAUGCUGUUUUUAAUAACAUUUACAUUUUAAAUUCCUAUAAAUAAUAAAUUAUAUUGUUGAUUUUGCAGUCGCUGUUUUUCACUAAUAAAGAAGUUAGGGAAUAUAUUUCCGAUUUUUCUAUGUACGAUAGAAACAAUGAUGGUGUGCUCAAUUUUCGGGAAUUCAUACCAAUCGCCAAACUUUACUUUGGAGAGUAUAAUGCAAAAGAUGUCUAUAAAAAAUAUUCUGAUUUCUACUUUUCACCCGAAAUUCCGGAAUUCCGAAAAAAACUGGUCUCUAAAUCUUGCUUCGGAGGAGAUUCAGCUGACAGAUUGGAUGUCAAUUGUUUAAUGAGCGCUGCUGAGUUCUUGUACAUGAAAUAUUACUUACGUUUUGAACGUCAACCUUUACAACCAGAACGUGAAAAAAAAUCGUCAAGUUUCCUAUGCUGCUUUGGUCACUGAAAAUGUGAAAACGAAAGUAACUACCCAUUCCACUCCCAUUCCAGUUUAACACAAAAAUAUUAAUAUAAUAUGAUU